rnacentral:rRNA from 1 species
CAGUCGCCGCGGUAAUACGUAGGGUGCAAGCGUUAAUCGGAAUUACUGGGCGUAAAGCGUGCGCAGGCGGUUAUUCAAGACAGAUGUGAAAUCCCCGGGCCCAACCUGGGAACUGCAUUUGUGACUGGAUGACUAGAGUACGGCAGAGGGGGAUGGAAUUCCGCGUGUAGCAGUGAAAUGCGUAGAUAUGCGGAGGAACACCGAUGGCGAAGGCAAUCCCCUGGGCCUGUACUGACGCUCAUGCACGAGAGCGUGGGGAGCAAACAGGAUUAGAUACCCCCGUAGUCCCUGUCUCUUAUAC